GUCUUUCGCUCCAGGUAGAGCUUGGGGUUAGUACAUCACUGGCCUGCGUGCUCCGCUCCAGGAGGUCUCGGUGAUUCUGCCACAGCCUCAUCCUCCGUCGCCCUGUGACCUACUGGUAUUGGAACAUUCAUAGCUAAGACUCCAGGACACCCACAAAGCCGAGAAAUGCUGAGUUUGCGGGUCAGGGCGUCCGGAGACUGGGGAGGCCUCAUCGGAGUCGGCCGGAAAUGGCGGUGGCGGGACCGAGUCUGUGAGCCUGAGCCCCCCUCAGCUCAGCCCUCAGUCUCCUCUGGUGCAGGGUACCCAGGCGUCCUGUACCGUUUCAGCACAGCGGCUUUGGCCCCAGCCUGUAGCCCUCUUUGCGCAGCUCUGCGCCCGCAUCUUCCCCAGCUUGUGAGGUGAUGAGGAGAGGUUCACCAGGGAAAGACGCCGACUUGGUGUGCAGGGCUUCUGCGUGGAAGGAGCUCUGGUCUGUGGGGUCACCAGUCCCUACUUUAACCUAUUCAGACAUAAACGGAGGCACCAUUAAAACAUUAAAGAAUUUAUAUGAGCAAACAGUGAUGAACCAGUGGGACAGCCCCAGACAUGGUUUGUCGUUUGGGGGCUACCAGCGGGUCUUGAAGAAAAGGCUUUAAGGUUUGUGAAGAGGCAAAGCAAACUAAAUAAUUGAUUGGGUACAGUUAUGUAGUCGUUUCAUUUAGAGUGUCCAGGAGAAAAUUUUCUGGUUAUGUAAUCAGAUUAAUUGGAGAUUUAUGGUUGGUUAAGCCUGAAUUUUGUUUUCUCCUAAGGUAGUAACUUACGAGAUACGCAUUUGAGUUAGAUCGUUUUGUUGCUGUUACACAGGAACCUAGAUCCCUAGAGCCACUUCAGUCUACCUGCUAUUUAAUUAUUUUAACUUUAAUCAGAAGCACUGUUUUUUUCCUACAUUUUCCAAAUGUGUGGCAAGCAGAGUCUUAAAUCUGUUCUGCCAGCCUAACUUGGCUUGCAGUAAAAUCUUAAAUUUCCAGUUUCUUUUUUUUUUUUUUUUUUGUUUGUGACGGAGUCUCACUCUAUUGGCCAGGCUGCAACCUCCGUCUCCCAGGCUCAAGGAAUUCUCCUGCCUCAGCCUCCCAAGUAGCCGGGAUUACCGGCAUGUGCCACCACACCCGGCUAAUUUUUGUAUUUUUAGUAGAGACGGGGUUUCACCGUGUUAGCCAGGCUGCUCUCCAACUCCUGACCUCAGGUGAUCCGCCCGCCUUGGCCUCCCAAAGUGCUGGGAUUACAGGCGUGAGCCACUGCACCAGGACUGAAAUUUCCAGUUUCUUUUCAACAUUCACCAAAGCCAACUACUCCCAUCCAAUUCACAACAUUAUCAACUAUUUUUGUUUUUUAUUGUAUGUUUCUAUUUGUAAAUAUUUCACCGGAGGAAAGCAGAAAAUAAUCCCAUUACACUCCACUGUCAAAAAUUUUUCUGCUUUUUCUUCUUUUAUCUUCCCUAGGCACAAAUGCCUUAUCAGGAUAUCUUUAAAUUCAAGUUUCCCUUUGGAAACUUGAUGGGACAGUGUGUCCUCAGCCACACUGCUUUUUUUUAAGUCUUGAGUUUUAGAGCUCUCUUGGGAUAACCCAAGAUACACACAACAGCCAUACCUUUUGGAAGGUUUGGUGAAUAUCAGCCCCUUGGUCAUCUCCUUCCAGAGGACACACUGAUGUAUGGAAAUGGAGCUUCUCAGGAGAGCAGCUGAAUGUCCUGAGGCUGAGAGAAAUAUCCUGGUUUACCCUUCCCAUAAAAAGAACCUUUGGGGAUCUUAAGAUUUUCUUUCCCCAGCCCCAGUUCUUCCUGGUCAGCCAAUUGGAUGGUUGUAUUUAGGGG
rnacentral:lncRNA from 1 species